rnacentral:rRNA from 1 species
AACGAACGCUGGCGGCAUGCCUAACACAUGCAAGUCGAACGAGACCUUCGGGUCUAGUGGCGCAUGGGUGCGUAACGCGUGGGAACCUGCCCUUAGGUUCGGAAUAACUCCCCGAAAGGGGUGCUAAUACCGGAUAAUGUCUUCGGACCAAAGAUUUAUCGCCUUUGGAUGGGCCCGCGUUGGAUUAGCUCGUUGGUAGGGUAAAAGCAUACCAAGGCGACGAUCCAUAGGUGGGCUGAGAGGAUGCUCAGCCACACUGGGACUGAGACACGGCCCAGAAUCCUACGGGAGGCAGCAGUGGGGAAUAUUGGAAAAUGGGCGAAAGCCUGAUCCAGCAAGGCCGCGUGAGAGAUGAAGGCAUUAGGGUUGUAAAGCUCUUUUAACCGGGAUGAUAAUGACAGUACCGGGAGAAUAAGCUCCGGCUAACCCCGUG